AGUGAACGCUGGCGGUAGGCCUAACACAUGCAAGUCGAACGGCAGCACAGUAAGAGCUUGCUCUUACGGGUGGCGAGUGGCGGACGGGUGAGGAAUACAUCGGAAUCUACUUUUUCGUGGGGGAUAACGUAGGGAAACUUACGCUAAUACCGCAUACGACCUACGGGUGAAAGCAGGGGAUCUUCGGACCUUGCGCGAUUGAAUGAGCCGAUGUCGGAUUAGCUAGUUGGCGGGGUAAAGGCCCACCAAGGCGACGAUCCGUAGCUGGUCUGAGAGGAUGAUCAGCCACACUGGAACUGAGACACGGUCCAGACUCCUACGGGAGGCAGCAGUGGGGAAUAUUGGACAAUGGGCGCAAGCCUGAUCCAGCCAUACCGCGUGGGUGAAGAAGGCCUUCGGGUUGUAAAGCCCUUUUGUUGGGAAAGAAAAGCAGCAGGUUAAUACCCCGCUGCUCUGACGGUACCCAAAGAAUAAGCACCGGCUAACUUCG
rnacentral:rRNA from 1 species